rnacentral:rRNA from 1 species
AACGAACGCUGGCGGCAUGCCUAACACAUGCAAGUCGAACGAGACCUUCGGGUCUAGUGGCGCACGGGUGCGUAACGCGUGGGAACCUGCCCUUAGGUUCGGAAUAACUCCCCGAAAGGGGUGCUAAUACCGGAUAAUGUCUUCGGACCAAAGAUUUAUCGCCUUUGGAUGGGCCCGCGUUGGAUUAGCUAGUUGUUAGGGUAAAAGCCUACCAAGGCGACGAUCCAUAGCUGGUCUGAGAGGAUGAUCAGCCACACUGGGACUGAGACACGGCCCAGACUCCUACGGGAGGCAGCAGUGGGGAAUAUUGGACAAUGGGCGAAAGGCUGAUCCAGCAAUGCCGCGUAAGUGAUGAAGGCCUUAGGGUUGUAAAGCUCUUUUACCCGGGAUGAUAAUGACAGUACCGGGAGAAUAAGCUACGGCUAACUCCGUG